AACUAACUGGAGUUAAUGACACACAAGUCUGCUUGUGUGAGGAGGAGGUUUUCUCAGCUUCUUCUGAAGAGAGGGAAAGAUAGUUUAAGGCAAGUAAACUUCAUAAUUUCAUGUUAUCAGUUGUUGUUUUUUUACUAAGAGUAAAAUCAUGUUUGUUUUUUGUUUUUGUAGAUGUUAAAAGCAAGAGACAUGGGAGAGCAUCAUUCCUUUGAGAUUUUAUAACUCAAACCAACUUUGGAGUUGUCUGAUUUGGAGAGUCAUUAUUCUUGGUCUUCGCUCUUAGAGGCCACUGAUGAAGAACAGGCGGUGUUUGGGAUGAAUCCUGGUCAGAGAGGAGAAUCUUCUUUCCCCUAAACAGCGGUGGUUUUAAAGGAGGACGCUGCCCUGGAUGAUGUAGAAGAUGUCAGAUGCUGUGCUGAUGGGGUUUCUUCAUGAUUACAUCAGUUAUGCUAAAGAGAUCAUGAAAAUUGACUGUGAUGCAUGAUCUGUAUUCAUGGACUAUGAAACAAACUGUAAGUGUAUAAUUUGUUAAAAAAAAAAAAAGUUAAAUGCUUUUUCUGUGUUGUUUAGUAGAAGAGUUUACACUCUGUCAUUCAUACACCUGCUCACAUUCUUUCACACACACACACACACACACAUGCGUCUGUUAAAUGUUAUAAUAUCAAAGUUAAUGUUGUGAUUUAUUUGUGUACCGUCAUGCCAGAAUAGUUGGAAAAAAACCUAACUAAUUGUAAAUUUAUUGUAUGUGUUUUCGUAUAUUUUUAUACAAUAUAUACAAUUGAACAAAGUCCAAUUUGAUCUUAAGUUAUAUUCAUCAAAUGUUCAAUGCUUUGUUUAUGAACUCUGUAGCUGUUAAUGCCAUCCUUUUUUGCAUUUCUUCUAACAUGUUACUUUUUGACUUUUCUCUUGUUUUUAAUAAAUAUUUUCCUUUUGGUAAUUAUUAUUUGUGUGUAAAAGUGAUAUUUAAAAUGAACAACAUUUGUAGGUUUAAUGCCUAGCUCAAUUUGGGUUAAUUUUAACGUAGAAAUGCAUUGUUUCCCCACAUGGCUGCACUCUGCGAGUUUAUUUUCUGCCAGUAGGAGGCGCUAAGAGCGGGAGAGGUAGGUUUCUCCGGUAACGGCUGCAGAGCGGCUCUGAGCUCACAAACGCUGCCUUAUCAAGCACAUGCGAAAUGAUAUCGAACAUUUUCUAAAUACAGUAGUUUUCCUUCUGAAAUACAGUGAUAAAAAAACACCCGCUCUGUUUUUUUAAACCCUGCAAUAUAGUCAUUUUAAACCAUAAAAAAGGCAACCCAGCAGGCUGGGUUAAAUAUGAUAACCCAACUGGUUGGGUUAAAACAACCCAGCGCUGGGUUCGUCCCUUUUUGACCCAGCGCUGGGUUGUCAAAAUAACCCAAAUUGGGUUGUUUUCAACCCAGCAGUUUUUAGAG